UUUCCGUAGGUGAACCUGCGGAAGGAUCAUUACCGAGUACCGGGUCUUUUCAGGCCCUUACUCCCACCCUUUGUGUAUCUUACCUUUAUUUCUUGUUGCCUUGGUGGGUCCAGGGGGAGACCCCGGGGGCCUCGCGGCCCCGCCCGCCAGGGGGACAGCCCUUAAACUCUUUGUUAACCGGGUCGUCUGAGAAAACAAAACAAAUGAAUUAAAACUUUCAACAACGGAUCUCUUGGUUCUGGCAUCGAUGAAGAACGCAGC
rnacentral:misc_RNA from 1 species